GUGCCAGCCGCCGCGGUAAUACGUAUGGGGCGAGCGUUGUUCGGAAUUAUUGGGCGUAAAGGGCGCGUAGGCGGUUUCGCAAGCCCGGUGUGAAAGGCUUCGGCUCAACCGAAGUUGUGCGCUGGGAACUGUGCGACUAGAGUUCUGGAGGGGAAGCUGGAAUUCCUGGUGUAGGGGUGAAAUCUGUAGAUAUCAGGAAGAACACCGGUGGCGAAGGCGAGCUUCUGGCCAGAAACUGACGCUGAGGCGCGAAAGCGUGGGGAGCGAACAGGAUUAGAUACCCUGGUAGUCCACGCCGUAAACGAUGUGCACUAGGCGUAGGGUCCGUUAGGGCUCUGUGCCGUAGCUAACGUGUUAAGUGCACCGCCUGGGGAGUAUGCUCGCAAGAGUGAAACUCAAAGAAAUUGACGG
rnacentral:rRNA from 1 species